GGUGUCCUCCUCCGUAGUCGGCUCCGGGUAGCUAAGCAGAAAGAACCUCGACACUGGCACCGAGACGCCGUCGGAGGCACACCCACACCCACACCGGAACGCAACAUCUCGCUGCCCGCGGCCUACGGGGAUUUAUCCGCAGCCCCCGGAUCUGAGAGCCGUCUGGGCCUUGGGGUUUCCGGGCGCGCCCCGACAACGUCACCCGCAGACCGGCCAAUCCCGCCAGGCCGCGGCCCAGUGGCGCCGGCGCACACCGAAGACGACACCAGCCAUCCGGCCAAUCCCGCCCCGCCGCGCCCCGCAGGCCCGCCCACUCCUCGCUUCUCCACUUCCCUUCUCGAAGUGUCCGGUCGCUUCUCGCAGGCGGCGCGCUUGCUGGGUCACAGUGAGGCGGCUCCGCGCAGGCGCAGCCGGGCGGGCGAGGAGCGGGGAAGCUGACUCAGGGCUGCGGCCGGGGUCCGAAAAUGUCAGUGUCCCCAGCACCUAGAUCCCCCAGUUAAAUCCUUUUCCAUUUCACCGCGCUGCCCCCCGCCCCCUGGACGGUUAUGUGGCCGCGU
rnacentral:lncRNA from 10 species